rnacentral:sRNA from 4 species
UGUAUCUGAAGUCUGACGAGGAUGAGAACCUCCGGGGGCAAGAGGUUCGACUCGAGCGAAGCGAGAGAACGUUGCGUCAGC